GCCUGCUCAAGUCCCAUUCCAAAGGAUGCAUUGGACUGUAAAAAGACCACAUAUGAGAAUGAAAUGCACCGUCAUUGCGUUUCUUUUAACAAACUUCGCAAAAGUUGCAUCAAGCCACCUAUUUUAAGUUUUUAACAUGCCACUUUUUGUAACCGAACUCAAAUAACACUGCUGUUCAAAUAUGAGAAAAGUUAUAGAUUAAUGAUUAAAAAAAUUGUUUUCUUGAAAAGUGUAUCAAACUUCUAGGAGAAGGCUAUACAAUAUUUUACUAAACUCAAUACUUUCAGGCCGUUUUUUUAAAUCAAUGCAUCCCUCAUCGAGUCAUAUUUUCUAGUACCCCCUACAAAUUCUUUAAAGAAUAGUACAACAUGACAUAGUAAUGCAAUGCCUAGAGUUAAAUCUAUCAACUUUGGCAUGUACAUACUUGAAUUUGUACCAUUGUUCCUGCCAUCUUCUGUUACAUAGUUAUAACUGAAUUACUAUGCAAUCAUUGUUACUGAAACAAUACAUAAGAACAUGCAGUCUGCAUGUCAAGUUUUCUCUAAGAAUAAAUUUAGGUACACGUCACAAUAAAACCAGAGUAGUGAUUGUUCAACAGAAAACUGGUAGUUCACUUUGUUUCCUAUAUCCAGUUGCCUCUAGUAAGAUUUUUACUACAAACAAAAAACAUGGAACAAAUCUGAAUUAGAUUCAUAAUUAAAAUCUGCAGAUUUGAAAAAAAAGGGACCAUUAUAACAGAACAUGGAAACUAAGAAGUAGUUCUUAUUCGAACAACUUAGAUUGGUGAUUGUGUACUGAGAGGGCGAAUGGGGAGUCCAUACAAGCCAAUCUCCUUACUGUUCGUUGAGUUUUCUAAGAUUGGCGAUUGUAUUUGUGGCAUACCAUUUGAUGUAUGGUAUGACAGCAUGAUGAUCUACCUUGUUCUGGAUAAGUGGGUCUCUUCACUUUAUAUUUUGGUGCUACCGUUCGGCUUCUCAAUGAUGACCACGAUAAUGUUAACUUUGAUGGAAUGACCAUUUACAGAGGACAAGUAUGGACCUGCAAUUCAGAAUUACAAAAAUAGUGGUUAGCCUCCGUACACAUAAAAUGAGAUUGGCAUGUAUGAAGAAUAAAUAUCUAUUGAAGUUUAAAGCCAAAAGUUUAGAUCCAGUAUGAAGAAGUAACGUUAACAUGACUUCAAGGGUUACAGUGUGGUGUUUGUGAAGGAUUCAGAAGUGAUUAAUUAAUACAUUCAGAAAUGCUCAUUCAGAAUCAGAACUGCAUAGAUAUUCAACUUAGAGAACUUGUUCACUGGAACAAGUUUCCACUUUGGGUAUACGAGCCUGUUAAGAUGUUCAACUUUUUGUUAGCAGCUCUUGCAAAGAUGACUCAAGAUAUUACCAUGACAAGGGAGAGAAAUAGAACAGAGAAGGAUCAAGAAGAAGUGCUUGCUAAGGAAGAAUACAAAAUAAGAACACUGUCUUAAAUGUGUGUUUUCCAUCCUUAUACAAUCCUUGUUGACCACUAAACUACCUCACAAUACUAUUUACACUGAUAGAAUGAUGGUUAUGCUACUUAUUUCGUGGGUCGACAAAUCUAAAGGAUAUAUAGCCCGCCCCCUAAUAUAAUAGAUAAUAAAAUGAGUGAUGGACAUGUAAAUAUUCCAAAGGUACAGGUGACAAGUCCUCUUCCAGAAUUCACGAUCAUCACAACACUAAUAUGACAUACAUUUUAUAUUAAGGAGACACCACAUAAGAACACACACUAUAAUGCAAUAAACAGGAUUCUAUGUAGUAUCACUACUCAAUAACAAAAAAUUGGUUAGCCUUAAAUCCAAAGAGAGUAUACGAUAUCCUUUGUUCUUCCCUAUCCAUCCCCCCUUUUCCCAACAAUUGAAACCACUGAGUACAAACAAAUAUGAAUAUUGUAAGAAUAAAACUAUUCCAAUGGCAUUGAAGACCAUUAUGUUCCUAGGCUUUAUUUGUUCUAAACUAUGAAAGCCAACUUUCACCCUAAACAACACAACAUCACAUACUGAAAAGCUAUAUAAGAUACCUAACAUCACCUUGUUGUCUUCUUCCAAGACUAAAAAGUAUGAUCAAGAAACCCG
rnacentral:lncRNA from 1 species